GACGAACGCUGGCGGCGUGCCUAAUACAUGCAAGUCGAACGCAUUUUCUUUCACCUUGGCUUGCUCCCCCGAGAGAAAAUGAGUGGCGAACGGGUGAUUAACACGUCGUUAACCUGCCCAUCAGCGAGGGAUAACACUUGGAAACAGGUUCUAAUACCCCAUAAUUCCAUUUGCCGCGGGGUAUAUCGGUGAAAGGCGCUUUUCCGGCACUUUUGGAGGUACCCGCGGUGGUUUGGCUAGUCGGUGGGGUUACGGCCUACCAAGGCUGCGAUGCAUAGCCGAACGGAGAGGGUGAUCGGCCAACCUGGGACGGAGACACGGCACAGAGGCAUACGGGAGGGGGCAGGAGGGAAUCUGGGGAAAGAGACGCAAGUCUGAGCGAGAAACGCCGCGUGAGGGAAGAAGGUUGUCGGAUCGUAAAAAUCUGUUGUUAGAAAAGAACAAGGAUGAGAGUGGAAAGUUCAGCGCUUGACGGUAUCUAAUCAGAAAGCCACGGCUAACUACGUG
rnacentral:rRNA from 1 species